AAUGGGCGAAAGCCUGACGCAGCAACGCCGCGUGAGUGAUGAAGGCCUUCGGGUCGUAAAGCUCUGUCAGAAGGGAAGAAAUGGAAGGGUGUUAAUACCAUCUUUUCUUGACGGUACCUUCAAAGGAAGCACCGGCUAACUCCGUGCCAGCAGCCGCGGUAAUACGGAGGGUGCAAGCGUUAAUCGGAAUUACUGGGCGUAAAGCGCACGUAGGCUGUAGUGUAAGUCAGGGGUGAAAUCCCACGGCUCAACCGUGGAACUGCCUUUGAUACUGCACAACUUGAAUCCGGGAGAGGGUGGCGGAAUUCCAGGUGUAGGAGUGAAAUCCGUAGAUAUCUGGAGGAACAUCAGUGGCGAAGGCGGCCACCUGGACCGGUAUUGACGCUGAGGUGCGAAAGCGUGGGGAGCAAA
rnacentral:rRNA from 1 species